rnacentral:misc_RNA from 1 species
GAUGAAUAACGUAGCGAAAUGCGAUAAGUAGUGUGAAUUGCAGAAUUCAGUGAAUCAUCGAAUCUUUGAACCCACAUUGCGCCCCUCGGUAUUCCGUGGGGCAUGCCUGUUCGAGCGUCAUUUAACCCCUCAAGCCUAGCUUGGUAUUGGGUGCUUGUCCCGCCUCUCGCGCGGCGACUCACCUCAAAGUCAUUGGCAGCCCGCAUCUCGCCGGCCGUGAGCGCAGCACAGACGCGCUCUUGGCAACGACGGAUCGGCUCUCCAAAAGCUUAUUUCAACCACUGACCUCGGAUCAGGUAGGGAUACCCGCUGAACUUAAGCAUAUCAAUAAGCGGAGGA